CCAGACUGGGGGCGGGCCGGGGGGGGGGGGGGGCUCUGACGACACUGAAAUAGGGCUUCCUGAGGGUCCAUCGCCUCCACCCCAUGCUUUCCCGUGACCUGAGCUUCAACUGCUGUCCUGCUACUUCCCACCAUGUAGUUGUUAAAAAGAGGAGGAGAGUGGAGAGCAAGGAAUAAAAACCCAGAAGACCAGGCUCUGCCUCUGCCAGAGAUGAGGACUCUUCCCUCCACCGCCCGCCCUGUGCCGCCACCAUGCUCGUCCGGGGGCUCCCCGUGUCCCUCUGUGUAGCAGGGAUCCUCCAGCUUUUCUCAGCGACAGGCAGCAUCUUGGACUCUGGUGGGUGUGACGAGUUUGCCCUGUUUGGCCAGAGCCUCAUCAGCCCUCUCCCUGUCCUCCUGAUUGUACACAUUCCAGUCACUGUGUGCGCCCAGUUCUUCAGUCUUAUUGUCCUCUCCUAGGGCAUCUGGCAUGAGGCCGAUCCC